AUGGUUUUCAGUUUCAGGUGCAAAAUCUUAUGGAUAAGGGAAAAAAGCUUUUUUCCCCCAAGAUAAAUAAAUUAACAUAAAUUCCACAAGAAAGUACAACCGUUGAAUUGUUGCUGAAAACGUUGACUGUUAUUGUUGUAUUCGAGUGCCAAAAUUAGCAAAAAUCAUUUAUUUCCAUUUAAAGGCAACUUAAGGUAGAGAGAUGUGCGUGACAAUUUGUCGACCAGGGCCCCAAAUAAAGGGACCCAUACAUGUAUAUCCACACUUUACUGCGGCGUUCGACUAAUGUGAUUAUUAUAUUGUAUUAUGCUUCGUUAUCGGCCUCCGACAGGAAAAGAACGGCAUUUAUGAGUUUUCCUAGAAUGCAGAAAAUUCGAGUACAAGCAGAAGAAAAGAACAAAUGUGUUUGAAAGAAAACAUUACUAAAUAUAUCAGCUGUCCACGAGUUCUGUUAAUUUUUUUGUUUUAUUUAGAAUUUUAGAAAUACUGCAG